GCCAGUGUGGCUCAGUGGGUAGAGCGUUGGCCUAUGGACUGAAAGGUUCCGGAUUCGAUUCCGGUCAGGGGCA
rnacentral:tRNA from 1 species